UACGAAGGGGGCUAGCGUUGCUCGGAUUGACUGGGCGUAAAGGGCGCGUAGGCGGUUUGCACAGUCAGACGUGAAAUUCCUGGGCUUAACCUGGGGGCUGCGUUUGAUACGUGCAGGCUUGAGUUCGGAAGAGGGUCGUGGAAUUCCCAGUGUAGAGGUGAAAUUCGUAGAUAUUGGGAAGAACACCGGUGGCGAAGGCGGCGACCUGGUCCGAUACUGACGCUGAGGCGCGAAAGCGUGGGGAGCAAACGGG
rnacentral:rRNA from 1 species